rnacentral:rRNA from 1 species
UACGAAGGGGGCUAGCGUUGUUCGGAAUUACUGGGCGUAAAGGGCGCGUAGGCGGUUCUGUAAGUCAGGAGUGAAAUCCCCAGGCUCAACCUGGGAAUUGCUCUUGAGACUAUGGAGCUUGAGUGCGAGAGAGGUGAGUGGAAUUCCCAGUGUAGAGGUAAAAUUCGUAGAUAUUGGGAGGAACACCAGUGGCGAAGGCGGCUCACUGGCUCGUAACUGACGCUGAGGCGCGAAAGCGUGGGGAGCAAACAGG